rnacentral:rRNA from 1 species
UGGGGAAUCUUGCGCAAUGGCCGAAAGGCUGACGCAGCGACGCCGCGUGGGGGAGGAAGGCCUUCGGGUUGUAAACCCCUGUUGCCCGGGACGAAUGUGCGCUUUAGAGCGUAUUGACGGUACCGGGUGAGGAAGCACCGGCUAACUCCGUGCCAGCAGCCGCGGUAAUACGGAGGGUGCAAGCGUUGUCCGGAAUCACUGGGCGUAAAGGGCGCGUAGGCGGCUCAUAAAGGCUGUGGUGAAAGUUCGGGGCUCAACCUCGAAUCGGCCGUGGCGACUUGUGGGCUGGAGCACUGUAGAGGCAGGUGGAAUUCCGGGUGUAGCGGUGGAAUGCGUAGAGAUCCGGAAGAACACCAGUGGCGAAGGCGGCCUGCUGGGCAGUGGCUGACGCUGAGGCGCGACAGCGUGGGGAGCAAACAG